rnacentral:misc_RNA from 1 species
GAAACAUCAAUCCCUUCGGGUUUCCGAUUGGGUUGGAUUUGGGUGUUGCCUAUUGGCUCACCUUGAAUAUCUUAGCGGGUCUGAUCCCUCGAACCGACGUAAUAAGUUUCGUCGUCUAGAGUGUGUCUACCGCUUCUAAUCGCCUUUUGGCAAUCUUGUACUCUGACCUCAAAUCAGGUAGGGCUACCCGCUGAACUUAA